rnacentral:rRNA from 1 species
GACGAACGCUGGCGGCGUGCUUAACACAUGCAAGUCGAACGAUGAACCGGAGCUUGCUCCGGGGAUUAGUGGCGAACGGGUGAGUAACACGUGGGCAACCUGCCCCCAGACACCGGGAUAACCUUCCGAAAGGAUGGCUAAUACCGGAUACGACCACUUCGGGCAUCCGACGGUGGUGGAAAGGAUUCUGGUCUGGGAUGGGCCCGCGGCCUAUCAGCUUGUUGGUGGGGUAAUGGCCUACCAAGGCGACGACGGGUAGCCGGCCUGAGAGGGCGACCGGCCACACUGGGACUGAGACACGGCCCAGACUCCUAUGGGAGGCAGCAGUGGGGAAUAUUGCGCAAUGGGCGAAAGCCUGACGCAGCGACGCCGCGUGAGGGACGAAGGUCUUCGGAUUGUAAACCUCUUUCAGCAGGGACGAAGCGAAAGUGACUGUACCUGCAGAAGAAGCAACCGGCUAAACUACGUAGCCAGCAGCCGCGGUAAU